UGGGGAAUAUUGGACAAUGGGCGCAAGCCUGAUCCAGCCAUGCCGCGUGAGUGAUGAAGGCCUUAGGGUUGUAAAGCUCUUUUGUCCGGGACGAUAAUGACGGUACCGCAAGCAUAAGCCCCGGCUAACUUCGUGCCAGCAGCCGCGGUAAUACGAAGGGGGCUAGCGUUGCUCGGAAUCACUGGGCGUAAAGGGUGCGUAGGUGGGUUCUUAAGUCAGAGGUGAAAUCCUGGAGCUCAACUCCAGAACUGCCUUUGAUACUGAGAGUCUUGAGUAUGACAGAGGUGAGUGGAACUGCGAGUGUAGAGGUGAAAUUCGUAGAUAUUCGCAAGAACACCAGUGGCGAAGGCGGCUCACUGGGUCAUUACUGACGCUGAGGCACGAAAGCGUGGGGAGCAAAC
rnacentral:rRNA from 1 species